AUUUAGCUCCAAUUCUGUCCAAAUUUUUUCAAAUGAACCUUCAAUUCCAUUUUCUGACCUAUUCAUGACCACCCAUGACGAUCCAAUGCCACCACUACCACAGUUAUUAUUGUAUCAAAAUGAAGUUUGGGAGGCAUUGAUGGUAGUUGGGGGUUUGGAUCACCAUGGAUCAGUCAGAAAAUAGAGUUUUAAGGUUUGGUUGUAAAACAUUGCAUAUAAUAGGAUCUAAGUUUGGCAUUUG
rnacentral:misc_RNA from 1 species